rnacentral:rRNA from 1 species
UGAGGAAUAUUGCACAAUGGGGGAAACCCUGAUGCAGCAACGCCGCGUGGAGGAUGACGCAUUUCGGUGUGUAAACUCCUUUUAUAAGGGAAGAAAAUGACGGUACCUUAUGAAUAAGCACCGGCUAACUCCGUGCCAGCAGCCGCGGUAAUACGGAGGGUGCAAGCGUUACUCGGAAUCACUGGGCGUAAAGGACGCGUAGGCGGGUUGGUAAGUCAGAUGUGAAAUCCUACAGCUUAACUGUAGAACUGCAUUUGAAACUACCGACCUAGAGUAUGGGAGGGGGAGAUGGAAUUAGUGGUGUAGGGGUAAAAUCCGUAGAUAUCACUAGGAAUACCGAAAGCGAAGGCGAUCUCCUGGAACAUUACUGACGCUAAGGCGUGAAAGCGUGGGGAGCAAA